CCUCCCUCCUUCCUUUCUUCCUUUCUUCCUUCCUUCUACCCCACAUUCACCUUACACCCAUCAGAAUGGCUAAGAUCGAAAACUCAAGUGACAACACAUGCUGGAGAGGAUGUGGAGAAAGAGGAACCCUCCUCCAUUGCUGAGUCCAGUCAGAGGCGAGCUUUCAUUGCUGUGGUCCAGGGAAUGAGGAGCGUGAUUCCUUUGUGCUGAUGAAAGGAAGCUUCUCACCAUGAUUACUCAGCAGUGGCUCCCUGCCUGUUCAAUAGACAACGACCCAUUUGAAUGAAGUUG